rnacentral:rRNA from 1 species
GACGAACGCUGGCGGCGUGCCUAAUACAUGCAAGUUGAGCGCUGAAGGUUGGUACUUGUACCGACUGGAUGAGCAGCGAACGGGUGAGUAACGCGUGGGUAAUCUGCCUUUAAGCGUGGGACAACAUUUGGAAACGAAUGCUAAUACCGCAUAAUAACUUUAAACACAAGUUUUAAGUUUGAAAGAUGCAAUUGCAUCACUCAAAGAUGAUCCCGCGUUGUAUUAGCUAGUUUGUGAGGUAAAGGCUCACCAAGGCGAUGAGACAUAACCGACCUGAGAGGGGGAGAGGACACAUAGGGAAUGAGACACGGGCCAAACACCCAUGGGAGGGAGAAGAAGGGAAAAUUUGGCAAUAGAGGAAAGUGUGAGAGAGAAAAGCCGCGUGAGUGAAGAAGGGGUUCGGAGAGUAAAAAUCUGUUUGAAGAGAAGAAAGUAGGUGAGAGAGGAAAGAUCAACAAGUGAAGGGAACUAAACAGAAAGGGAAGGCUAAAUAAGUG